GACGUAGGGCGCGAGCGUUGUCCGGAUUUAUUGGGCGUAAAGAGCUCGUAGGCGGCUUGUCGCGUCGAAUGUGAAAUCUCAGGGCUCAACUCUGACAUUGCAUUCGAUACGGGCAGGCUAGAGUUCGGUAGGGGAGACUGGAAUUCCCGGUGUAGCGGUGAAAUGCGCAGAUAUCGGGAAGAACACCCGUGGCGAAGGCGGCACUCUGGGACGGUACUGACGCUGAGACGCGAAAGCGUGGGGAGCGAACGAGG
rnacentral:rRNA from 1 species